UACGUAGGGGGCAAGCGUUGUCCGGAUUUAUUGGGCGUAAAGAGCGUGUAGGCGGCCAGACAGGUCCGUUGUGAAAACUCGAGGCUCAACCUCGAGAUGUCGAUGGAAACCGUCUGGCUAGAGUCCGGAAGAGGAGUGUGGAAUUCCCAGUGUAGUGGUGAAAUACGUAGAGAUUGGGAAGAACACCAGUGGCGAAGGCGGCUAUCUGGACGGUUACUGACGCUAAGACGCGAAAGCGUGGGGAGCAAACAGG
rnacentral:rRNA from 1 species